ensembl:lncRNA
CGUGAUCUUUAUCACUCGCACGGAUCCACAGUGUACAUUGUUUUGUGCAUAGUUGUUUGACUUUGAGAGGGCGGGACUCUUUGGAGAGCGAAAUGAACUAGGCGCGGCCAAAAAAGAGCCCCAUCCAUCUAUCACACGUGUAGACAAAGGGGGACUCCACAACACAAAGCUAGAUGUGCCCUCUCAAACUUUUUUUUUUUCCUACAACCGACAGCAGCGCGCGCACAGGAAGCCGACUGCCCAGGUGGGAAUUUAAGCAAUUUAACCAGUACAGUGCUUGCUUCUGAUGGAUUAAGAAAAUAAAAAAGAUGUGUAGAAAAAAAAACACACGGAAGAUGUACAGAUUCACCUAUCAAGCCAUUUUUAAGAUGAAAUGAAGGAUUAAGAGACUGUUCACUUUUCUUCUGGAUGAACAUGAAGACUUAUCUCAUGAGGAUUUAGACUUCAGCAGCAGCAGCGCCAGUCGGAUUGUGUUUUAGGCACACUUGGAAAUCUAAACCUCAUGGAGAUACUUUGAGGAUUAUAAAAGAUGUGCAUGUAGAAUGCCACCAUACAAGACGCGUCCUGGGCCAAAGUCCUUGGGAUAGCAGGAUAUUGCUUUCCUGAUCCUUCUCAGCCCCCAGAAUGGGGAGUGUGGGAGUGGUGAGGUCUGGGAGAUCACGACCUUAAUUCUCUCCAAGACAGACGGUUUAAUUAACACUGGAAGAAUCCUCACUGACUCCAGACCUCUACAGUGAGAAUGUACAGGGGAAUUGGCUUGCCAAGGUCCUCUUGGCCAUAGACUGAAAUGCUGACAGACGAUGCCCAUGAAUGAUGAAUGAUGACUGGAGGUCUGUCUGGUGCCAGCAGAAUGCAUAAUACAGCAUCGAUACAGCAAUCGCAGUCCUCCUCAGCAGAAACAUGGUGCAGUUUCUGUAUCACAUUAUUGGAAGAUUUGCCCCAAGCAGGACAGCAGGACCACUCAAAGUGGAAAUCAACCGCAAUGUUGAAUGUUGUUUCGGUUGGAGUCCUAAAUGAAGCAGCAUUACAAAGAGUUUUCUGGCCGCUUUCAUUGUAGUCCACAUAGCAAGAAGACCACCUCAUAGGGAUUUUCCUCUUCACCAGGUGUGUCAGAGUGAGGCUCAGUGGGAAAGAUUGCUGUGUCUAGACAGGAGUGUGAGGAUCUACACAGAAGCUUACAGGAAACUGAAGAAGACGGGUGAGGUUAAAGAGGACAGCACGAUGGAAAAAACAAGAAUGAAAGCAGCCAGUGAUAAAUAUUAACUUUUGUGAAACAUUUUGAGCAUUUGCAUCACUAAAAGUCCUCAUAUAUAGCUGUUUGUCAUCGCCUUAAACUGCUAGAAUUUGAUUUUAAAAAUACGGGUAUCAUGUAGCGGUUCGAGUUAGAAGCUGGGAAUAUGCAAUCACAUCUGUAAGAGUUACAUUUCGCAGCUCAUUGUAUCUCUGACUGCAAAAUAAAGUUUGAUAACAAUCUGUUUUUGUGUUAUUAAUAUGUUGUAUGGAAAUAAAGAAAAAAAACCAAUGAAAGCACUUUUUAAAUGCUUUUUUGUAAAUCUGUUUUAAAAAAAAACAAUAUGUCUGCACAAGGGCCUGUAAUUAAAAGGGAAAAGGGC